CCGGGACUUCUUCUCCAGGUACCGUCAUUAUCUUCCCUGGUGAAAGAGCUUUACGACCCUAGGGCCUUCUUCACUCACGCGGCAUGGCUAGAUCAGGGUUUCCCCCAUUGUCUAAGAUUCCCCA
rnacentral:rRNA from 1 species